rnacentral:piRNA from 1 species
UGAUGUCCUCUCAGAUGAAACUGAUUU